rnacentral:rRNA from 1 species
UACGUAGGGGCCUAGCGUUGUCCGGAUUUAUUGGGCGUAAAGAGCUCGUAGGCGGUUCGGUAAGUCAGGUGUGAAAUCUCCACGCUCAACGUGGAGGCGCCACCUGAAACUGCCGUGACUCGAGUCCGGUAGGGGAGUGUGGAAUUCCCGGUGUAGCGGUGAAAUGCGCAGAUAUCGGGAGGAACACCAGUGGCGAAGGCGGCUUGCCAGAACGCACUCGACGGUGAGGGAUGAAAGCUGGGGGAGCAAACCGG